rnacentral:misc_RNA from 1 species
AAGAACUCAAAGAUAGUAGCCAUGCAUUCAUUGCAUGAUUUCUAUUCCUAUCUGUUAGACUACAAACUGCCUUGUAAUCCUCAAAGAGGGGAUCUGCAUAGAUUCUCUUUUCCCAUUUCCACUCAACUAUCCAAAAACUUAUGGUACUGGGCACCCAAUCUUGUCACUAACUCAAAAGAACCACACCUGUUAUGAUUUAAUCACUUAUGCUCACAAUCCUCAAAUCACAUAUAUCAAUACUUGGAAGCUCAGCUCCCUCCAUCAUCAACA